rnacentral:lncRNA from 1 species
UAGUAAAUGCAACCUGCCCACUUGCUUAGUUCUAGUUAAUUUGAAUGGAUAUUUUGUGUUCAAAUCGAAAUAUUUCUUUGUUCUCUAGUAGCUAAUUGUCUUGGUGAUUAAUUGGUUGUAUAAAUAAUUGUCUCGUAUAAUGACAAAUCAAUGGAGUUACCACUACACUAGGUAAUUAUAGAAGCCUUGAUCUCUAAAAUAUCAGGAAGAGCCUUAUAGUUAUUUCUAGAUCAAUGAUUGUUGAGAUGAAUAAAGAAUUUGUGCCUUUGAAAGUGUAUCAAAACAAUUUGUUUGCAGUACCAAUUUAAGAUUCAAAGGUGUUCGGUUGUUUACCUGCGACAUCACAUAGUAAUAUUUGGAAAGACCUACAACUAAAUUCAUGUAGAUUCUAUAUUCUGAUUGACACUUACCCUUCUCAUUGUGAUAAUGGAUCUUAAGAUUAUCUCAGAUCCUUUUUUGAACUGUAUUGGAUAUAAGUUCUCUAAGUGAUCAUCAUUUGUAGUUUGAUCAUAAUGUGUUUAAUUAAGACCAAAUUGAAUAGUAAAAUUGUUAAUUAUCUUUUCCCUUUUGAUGCAUGUGAAUGUGUUGCAUCUGAGUUCGCCGCGGACUCUCAAUUACAUUUUCCUCGUCGAGUAAAUUCUGAGAAAAAGCCCAAACAUCGAUCAUAUGGAGUAUGGAUACAAGAAAGAAACGAGAGAAGAAGCAACAGUUAAACCCAUAUUUAAAGCGGCCAAGAGACUUGAAAGUCUCGAUUUUUUUUUUAUUUUUAUUUAUUUUGCUUAUGUUGCUUAUUUACUCAUUUAUUGUCGCCUUUAGUUAUUUAUUUCAUUUAUUCCUUUAUUUAGUCCUCGAAGCCAAGGUUGUAAAUUUAAUACAGGUGAUGCAAACUCGAGCCAAGGGUUCGAGAGAAAAAACUAGACUAGGAUAGGUGAAAUGGGUCGAAAACCCAAUUAGACUAGGACAGGUCUUAUUGAUUUGGGCCCAAUGGCCUAAAUCCCUUACUUCCUCCCCUUUCCCUCUUCUUUAUGCUUGUUUGUCUUAUGUGUUUUGCGAACCUAGUUAAAUCUUCAGUCAAGUCACUAAAAACCUGGUUUUGCAUAAAUAUCAAAAUAUUUCUAAAAUCGCUUUCUCUUCAAAAAUCAACCUUUUUCAAGGUUAAUCAUAGACGAUUUUCAAACAGUCCGGAUAGCCGCAGGUUAGCGGACGUUUUAGGUGCCUAACACCUUCCUAAAACGUUAAUAGGAACCAUUUACCUAGAAUCUCUAACUUAAAUGAUUUUCCUAUUUUGAACCGUUUGAAGUAACUUUAUAAGGGUUUCUUAAUUUCUUUUCAAAAUUAAGUGGCGACUCUUCAAAAGUAAAAAAUUUCUCCGCAAAAUAGAAAUGGUGACUCUGUUGGGGAAUUUGACUAGGUUCUAACCAAAUGUUUGAUUUUGUCUUUGAUUAACUGUUUAUGUAUUUAUGUGUUUCGAUUCUGUAAAGUUUAACUAUCGCAUCUCAUGGCAUAUUCCUGCAUUAUUAAAACUGUUUUGGGGUUUCGUGGAUGUCCCGGCCCUCUAUUGUUCAAUUUCAAUAAUGUGUUGGAAAUAUGAAUGACUUAUUAGCACAUGAGUCGUCUGAUGGUUGUUCGUAUUUUCAAACUCAAGUUGUCCUCUUAAGAACCUGUGUUCAAACCCACUCUAGACACCUAGGAUAGAACGAAACCAAAACCCUAUUUUAGGCAUGAGUCUAGGAUGACCCAAAACCUGCCCGGCGUCUAUUGACCCCGAGUCAAUUAUAGAUGAACCAUAUUUAUAUAUUGAAGAAAAUAUAUGUCUGUCUAAUUUAAUCCAUUAUCCUUUGGGGGUUGGGAAAAAGCUUAAUUUGCUUACUUUCGUAAGAAGAAUUGAAGCAAGUUGAGCAAGAAAUUAAUCGAUUUGGGAGGUUGCAUCUAAGGCACAGUUUGAACGUCAACGGAUGUAACCAAUAUAAGAAGUGGACGAAGCUAAGAAGGUGAAGGAUGAUAGAAAAAGCACCCAGGAGUUAUAAUUUUCUAUCUCUUGUGUGGAAACGUGUCUUCUUUCAUGUUAUUUCCAUUUCCCUAAAAAUUGUAUCCCUUUUUUGUUGUAUUUUGUAGGCAUUUAUGCCCUUUUAGUGUUUAUAAAAGUUGGGGGAUAAUGGAUUGACCUUAAGCAAGCAUAUAUUUUUCUUCAAAAAUUGUUAGGCCCAAACCCUUGGCUCAAAAGGGUCACCCAAGUUAGGAUAUGCAUUAGUAUAAUGUUCUUAUGUGAUAUAAUUAUCUUACGUGUUUAUGUGUGUUUGUUUGGAUCAAAGACAAAUUUAUCCGCUAUGCUUUUAUGGAUUGAUUUGGCUAUGACACAAACAACUCUACGUGGCUAUUUCUUGUCUAGUAUUUUGCAUUGCUUAUCACAUGUGAAAACUAACAGAUUUGCCUUUGAGUUGUUUGACUUUACAGAUAAUAGAAAUUACUCCAUCUUGAAAUAAGCUGGCAGAACAUCCUUACUUCACCCAGUCAAAAGCGCACAAAAUCCCAUCCUCUGACCAUCAUUCAAUAAUGACUGGAAAUGACGAAGAAAAUACAUUGACCAUCAGGGACAAUGUAAUAGCGGAACAGAGUGAGAUGAUUACAAAACUCACAAGAAAGCUAGGAAUGAUUCAGGAGGAAAUAAAUCAUACUCGAGAUUUGGCUAACCUGGUCAUCACUGUCAAUGCUCCCGCUCCAGGAGGACAUAAGACUCCACUCCAAAUCCCUCCCCUCAGUACACCUAUUUUCGGGGAUCAGUCAAAUAACAUAUCAUUCUUCUCUGCCCCUCCAUUUGUCCAAAAUACCAAUUGUGAAAAUAACCCAGAUGCUUACCAUCCACAAAAUCCAGCCCUUGCCCCACAAAUUCCUUCUCCGAAUCUACAAAAUUCAUUCCUAAAUCCCCAGAACCUAUUGGUAAAUCCACAAAAGCCAUCCCCAGAUCUACCAAAUCUGCCAAAUCUAUCUCCGAACCCACAAACUUCAUUUUUGAAUCCGCAGAAUCCAUCCCAAAUCCCACCAAGCUACUCUCAAAUUCCACAAAACUUUUCUAAUUUCCAAAAUGUUCUCCCUACCCACGAACCAACUUCCUUUCAUUCAUAAAAUCAAGCCACCUUUCUAAAUCCUUCUCAUGUCAUCAUAUCCCCUGACAUCUAUAAUUCCCUUCCUAAUCCUGAGGUGGACCAUUAUGAGGAGAAGGAGAAAGAGUGGAGGACCGAGCAUAAAAUAAAGUUACUAGCUAUGAAUCAAGAGAUCAUGAGGAUCAAGGAAUCUCAUGGAGCGGGGAAUAACGAUGGGUUAGGUUACGAUGAUUUAUGUGUUCACCCUGGAGUAGAUCUACCAGAAGGGUAUAAGGUCCUUAAAUUUGAAGUGUUCGAUGGCACCGAAAAUCCAAUGUCCCAUCUGAGAAGGUAUUGUGAUCAAAUGGUGGGAGUAGGAAAAAAUGAGGCAUUAUUGAUGCGCUUAUUCAGCCGAAGCUUAAGUAGCGAAGGCUUAGAUUGAUUCACGUCUCAAGAACUGAAAAAUGGACUAGUUGGAGGGCAUUGACCAAAAGUUUCCUUAAUAGGUUUGCAUUCAAUAUUGAAAUAGUCCCUGACCGAUAUUCAUUAGAUCGGAUAAAACAGAGGAAUGAUGAGUGUUUUCGAGACUAUGCCUUCCGUUGGAGAAAAGAGGUUGCCAAAGUACAACCUCUCAUGUCUGAGGAAGAAAUGAUGUCUAUGUUCUCUCGUGCUCAGGAGAGAGAAUAUUAUACCAGGUUGGUAUAUGCGGACCGAGCAACUUUCAUAGAUUUAGUAAAGAUUGGGGAAUCGUCAGAGGAAGGCAUCCGAACAGAAAAAAUUGCCAAAACCCCAAUAUCAUCUGAAUCUUCUGCAUUCUCAAAGAAGAAAAGAGAGGAUAUGACUGCGGUCUCUACUGAUUUUGUUGAUAAAUUAAAAAGGAAAUUCAAGCCUAGGAAUAUUCUUUCCUUACCACCAUCACCAAAUUUUCAGCCUGUAUUCUACUCCCAUCCCCAAUAUCAAGUUCCAAUUUUAAAUAUUUUACCUCAGUGUCAAAUUCCGCAGCCAAAUUAUCAAUCUCAUGUUCAAGCUAUUCUUCUAAACAAUUAAAUAAAUGUCCAAGCACCUCCAAACUAUCAUCAAGUACCUCCUCCUACUAAUCAAAAUCAGUAUAACUACCCACGUGUAAACCUCGAGAAGAAGCCUCCCAGAAAAUUUACUCUAUUGGCUGAAAUUUAUAUCCAUCUCUUCGGAAGAUUGAUGAAGGCCGGUUAUUUACAACCUAUUCCACCAAAGACUGCCAAUCUCAAUUCUCUAUUCUUUCAUGUCGAUCAAGUUUGUGCUUAUCAUUCAGGAGCUCCCAGGCAUAAUAUUAAAGAUUGCAUCAAUCUGAAACACAAGAUCCAGGACUUGAUUGAUCAGAAGAUCAUCACUCUUCAUGCGCCGGCAGCAAAUUUUGCUAGUAACCCAUACCCUAAUAAUGAGGGAGCCGCAGUUAGCAUGAUCGAAAUAGCAGGAGAAUGGGUAUCUAGCGAGACAAUUGCUAAUGUGGAUUCAAGAAAAUCCAAAAAGACAGAAGGAGUGGAAAUGAUAGAAAAAGUUGUGGCUUCCUUGAGUAAGAAUUUAUAAGGAAUUAUUGAGCCUAUUAUGGUCCCGGAAAGAGCAUUUAAGUAUGGAGUAGGAUACCAACCAAGAAAGAAAGAUGAGAUCAAAGAUAAUUCAAAGGAGAGUCUGUUUAGGCCCUUGCUGCUCUUGUACCAGUCAUUUCCCGUACAUAAGAUGUCAAACGAUGAUGGUAUUAAGGAUGGGAUAGGAGAUCUGUUCGAAGGAUGCCAUGCUCUACCAGAUGAUUUUCCAAAGUCCUAUGGGGUGAAGAAGAUUGCAUCAGAGGAGGCCUUCCACAACUGGACCUCCACUCCACUCAUAACCCGUCACCCAUCGUGGUAGAUGAAAAGGAUAAUUACUAAUAGUUUUUAAAAUCAGUGAUGAUCCAGAGAAGGCCCCGUGAUCCACCCUUUUAUGUCUCAAAUUUUCAUUUCGUGUUUUACAACUUUCAAAAUGGCAUGGGCCCACAUUUGUGUGGGUCAUGAGCCAUAGUUUUUAUUUAUUUUCCCUAAGGCCUCCCUUUAUUUAAGAAGAUAUUUUUUAAAAUAUGAUUAUCUAGCAUGGUUUAUUUUGGUAGCAAUAAUUUAAAAACCUGCCAAUAUUAUAUCAUGUCAAGGGUUAGACGAAUAAAACGAAGGAAAUAAUGAUGAACAGAAAAGGUGAUGAGGAGCAGUUAGUAGUAGAUACAGAGGAAUGUGAAAAUCAAAAGAAGCCCAACCUGGAGGAUCCCUAAUCCUACAUGAGAUGGAUGGUCAAGAGUGGACCAAAUCAAUUAAUUCUGAUACAGUAAAGAGAUAUUGUGCUUGAAAGAUGUUAUAGUUUUUAUUUCUUGGUUUAUUUGUAAUCGUCUUUAUAAUAGUAUCAAUUUCAUGAUGUGUAAUUUCCUAGAACCCCUUCCCUUUUUGUACGAUUUACGUUUGACUUGAAUUCUCAAGAAUGAGAUAUGCAGGCAGCCUAUGUCGGCUUUAGUUAACCCCUUAGGAAAAUUUAUCCUUUCCUUUUAUGUAUGAACUACGUGAUGACCUGAAUUCUUAAGAAUGAGAUAUGUAGGCGGCCUAUGUCGGCUUUGGUCAACCUAUUAGAUUUUUUUAUAUAUCCUUAGCGUAGUCUUGAACUACGUUUGACUUGAUUCCUACUUCAACGGGAUACGUAGGCGCCCCAACAGCUCGGUCAUAUAACCCCAGGAAAUAGAAACUAGGGCAGAAUUUUCGAGAAGGAAUCUAAAAAAUUCAUAAAAGGAAGAUCAUCAUCCAACAAAGAGAAUGAAGACCAAUAAAGACUUCGGAUCCUCUCGAGUUGGCAUCAUAUCAAAAGACUUUAAACUGGGGCAGAAAUUUUGAGGGAGGCCUUAAAAUUUUCACCAAAUAUUGGAAUAUAUUUCAAAUUUCCCGGCACUAGAGGUUGAAGUUGAGAUUUGAGAAUCACCACUUGUGAUAAAGUCUAGGUAAACUAAAUCUUCGGCUAUGAUGAAACCAUUUGUAGAACCCUCCAAUAAUGAUGAUGACUUUUGGAAAUCCUCCAUCGGAUAUAGUCAAAACUAAGUGGAAUACAUUCGCUGAGAUAGUACAUGACAUGACUGACAGAGAUUUUCGAAAGCUUUUAUAGAAAAUUUUGAAACUUUUUGCUAAAAAUAAGACUACUUUUGAAAAAUCUUUACAAAAUCUUUUACUUAGUGAUUGCCUAGGCGUCUAUAGGAGCAGGGAGCCAGGGUGGAGGUACCAAAAUGGUGGAAUACCUAAAAGAUGACGUGGAGCAAACGGAGAAUCAAAGAAGGUCAAUACGGAGUAGUUUCACUCAAACUAAUCAUUUUUCUGUGGAUGCAAGGACCAAUACACAAAAAUAAGAGUCUCUUUCAAAAAUAUUCAAGCAAAUUGGGAGACACACCUGAGCACUAAUGCUCAAGAACGGUAUUUUUGGAUAGCCCUAAAAAUGGGUUUAAUACCCAUUUAUUGAGGACCUGUUGUAUUGUCCAUCUCACUUUUUGAGAUCGUAGAGGACAAACAAAAGUGUCUUGUCUUCUUUACAAAUAUUGUAUUUAGAGUUUUCUAAAAAUAGUCGCUAGCAAAAGCGACUUUUUGUCUACUAAUCAUCUACCUUGAGUACAGGUAGAUGUAGAAAGCAAGACGCAGACAAACAAACUCAGGUAAAACUGUUUUCAAAUUGCCAAGAGGGUCAUUCAUAUCAUCGCCGAGAGGGCCAAUUCAUAUCAUUGUCGAGAGGGCCAUUUCAUAUAAUUUCCAAGAGGGCCACUUUAUAGCAUUGCCGAGAGGGCCAUUUCAUAUCAUUGCUAAGAGGGCCAUUCAUGUCAUUUGUCGAGAGGGCCAUUUUAUAUCUGUUGACACGCAAGACAUAAACAUUGGUGUCGAUGAUAUUAUCAAUAUUUUAUAUCUGUUGACACGUAAAGAAAUAAAUGCUGGCGUCGAGGAUAUCAUCCCAUUUUAUAUCUAUUGGCGUGCAAGACAUAAACGCUGGCAUUGAGGAUAUCAUCAGCAUUUCAUAUUUGUUGACAUGCGAGACAUCAACGCUGGCGUCGAGGAUAUUUCAUCAUUUUAUGUAUUAAUAUCUGAAUGCAUCAAGAGCAUACGAUUUGAAGGGACGCCUUUAAGUCGCUAUCUAAGAAUGGAUGAUAUAUAAGAUUUCCUAGAAAUUGACAAUUUGAGGGUCAUUUAUAAGUUAUAUUAUUUGAAAUAGGAUAGUGUGCAAGAUCACCCAAAAAUCGAUAGUCUGAAGGUUAUCCAUAAGUCACAACUAAAUUCUUACCGGAGAAUAUGCGACAUUAUCAAAUUGAUAUGUCUAAGGGUUUUCUAUAAGCCGCGUCAUAUCCAAGAUCAAUUAUGUGCAGGAUUACCCAAGGACUAGCAAUUUGAGAGAUAUUUAUAAGUCAUAUUGUAUCCAAGGUCGGAUGAUGUGCAGGAACACCUGAAAGCUGGCGAUUGCAGGCAUAUCUAUAAGCCAUCUCUUAUCCAAGGUUGGAUAAUGCGGGAUUACCUAAAGGCUAGCAAUUCAAAGGAUAUCUGUAAGUCGCCUCGUAUCUAACAUCAAAUAAUGAGCAAGAUUAUCCAAAGAUUGACAAUUUAAGAAAAAUUUAUAAAUCGAUCAUCGUCUAUAACCGGAGAGGUUAUCAUGCCACUUAAAACAAGUGAUAUAGGUAACCAAAAGGGUUGCCACACCAGCACAAGAUUACACGAUUGUAGGGACCGUUCCACAUAAAGUGUCGUCGGUGUCCAAAAGGACCACCCCACUUUGAAGACAUAUUCGCUCGAUAAAUGAACUAAUUAUGCAAUAACUAAAAAGGUUGUUGUGUCUGUUAUUACGAGUUAUUUCCUUCCAAACAGGUACAAGAAAGGAUGACUUCGCUUUUAGACAAUAGCUCACACGGAGAUAUGUUAAAAAACUAUACACCUCUUUUGUGAAUUGGGUUUAUUACUAAUGAUUUCUGUUUGACAUAUUGUCGAGAGCAUCCGAGUGGAUGAAAAUCACAAAUCAAAACCACAGGUACGGAUGACUCCAAAAAGGACGAAACACAACGUGGAACUCUUUCUUAGCAGCAAAAUGGGACAGUCUAAAGAGGGACGUCAAACUCUUUGGAUGCGAGCUAAAGGAUGAUCACCACCACUAUUCAACCACACCCCUGUUAGAAGGUAUGUGGGUAUUUUAGGAUAUUCUGGUUUCAGCUUCACCUCCGGGAUAUUUCUAAACUCAUGUCGAGGGUAACAUUCUCUUUCUUUCAAAUUCGGGUGGCAACACACUUAGAGUUUUGGAAAUUAUGCCCAGGUAAAUUCUUACCUAUGGAUGUGAAGAGCUCCACGUUCAUGGUUAAGAGGUUACAAGCCUCUUUUCCGCAACUCAAUCAACUUGUCACUCAUCUUGAGCCAAAGAUCAUCUGAAAUAAAAGACUAUCUUUUCUACCGAUUGAGUCAAACUACAAGUAGUCUGAUUCCCUGAGUCUCGAGGAUAUGUAGGCUGGUCUCUAUGUAGAAAAGUUGACUGCAUUCCAACCUCCCCCAAAUCCCUUCAUUCCCCAGCGUCUCGGUUUUAUCAAAAACUCUAAAAUUAAGAUAGCUUGUAAAUUUUCUUGAAAAUUGUGCUUAAAAUCAAGAUUUAUGAACUACAAGUGGCCUGAAUUCUCAUUUAACCUGAGAUAUGUAGAAAACCUGAUACCGAGGUUCUGCCAUAAUUUCAUGAAACUAGUGCAAAGAUUAACCUUUUUCGAAUUCGAAUUGGUGGUCGGACAAAACUUAGGAACGUUAACCUCUCUUUACCCAGGGUUACUUGCAUCCACCCUACCCAAAGGGAGGGGGCAGUUGUUGACACCUAAUUUUUGCCCUCCGCAAUCCAAUUUAAUUUCGAGUUUCUUCAAUUUUAAAAUAAAAUCACAAUAAUUAUUUUAUUCCAAUAAAUGCAAUUUAAAAUAUUUAUUUGAGUUAAUUUUGUCAUUUAAUUAAUGAUUAUAUAUUUUUUAUUUUUAUACGAGAAUGUAUAAAUUUUUUUAUUUAAAUGAACAUUUUUUAAUUAAAAUUAGAGUUUUAUUGAUUAAAUUUAAAAAUUAAUCCAAAUGGACAAAGUCUUGAUUUUUAAAUAUACUUUAUUCUUACACAUAAUUUAUUUGAAUAAAUCUGUGUUUGAUUUUAUCGAAUCAAGAAACUCGGGGUUAAAUAAGAUGUUAAUUCAUUUCAAAUUUUGACUUAAUUUAGCCAAUCUAUUAGAUUUGACCAUAAUUGAAAUCAAAUUGGCCCCAAUUGCGAUGCAAUCGGCCAAUUGAUUUUCAAUUUGGCCAAAACUUAAAUGAAUUGGUCAAAUCCCCAAUUCUCAUAACCUAAUCAAAACUAAAAUCAGCCCAUUCCCUUCACUAAUUAAUCCAAUAACCCAGGCCCAAAAUUUCUCCGACCCAGGUCCAAAAUCCCUCCGACCCGGCCCACUCCCCAUCCAUUAUCUCCUUCAAAAAAAACAUACGCAUAAACCAACGUACAACCCUCACCAAAAGCUGCGUACCAACUCCAUCAACUUCGCGACCCGCGUCCAAUAACCCAAUUCAGCCAAAACUGAACCAUCUCCAACCCUUUUUUGAACCGACUUAGCCCCAGCCCGUCAGUUUUCUCUUCACAAGCAUUUCACGCAAUAUUUGGACGAAGAGAAGCCUCGAAUCUUUUAGAAACGAGGCUAGGUGGCCUCUCCAAUGGUUCAAUCCCGCGAUUCUCGGAUGAGAUUGUACGAUUUUGUAUAUAUUGGGAUGAUUUUCAUUGGUUCUUGAAGGGACUUGAUUUUUACCCUAUUGGUCCACCCGUUGCAAAUUUCUUGGAGAAAAUCCAAAAAUUGGUACGAAUUGAGCACGAAAACAGGCUGUGGGGGAAGAUUUUUGAAUUUAAAAAUUCAAAAUAUCAUUUUUUUUCAAAUCCCAAAAGGACCCCUAAUUCAUCUUCUAUAUAUAGACCCCUUGGGUCACCGUUUCAGGGGAUUUUUUUGGAGGGUUGGAAAUUCUUGGGUUAGGAAUUUGAGGGAAAAAUUCUCAAAAGGCAGAAACAUAAGAGAGAAAAUUUUGGGUUUAAGAAAUUGAGGGAGAAAAGAAAAGAAAAGAACAGAAAAGAAAGAAAACUCUUGUAAAAAAUUCAGUCGUUUAGAAGGAAUUCUGUUUUUGUAUUCGAAGGCUUACCCACUAGAUUAGAGCCUCGAUUCCCAGGAAGAUGUUUUCUUUAGUGGUUGUGAUUCUGAAGUUAGCCUCUAGGUACCGUUUUGCUGCUCUGUAAAAGGUGAACGUCUUUCCUUUUGUUCUUUCUUCACAGUGUGUGUUUCUUUCUUUUGCUACUAUUCUAUAAACGUAGUCUAGUAAUCGAGUCCAGGCUUCUGAUUGUGAUGUUGAUUUUACUGCAUUCUCUCUCGAGCUCACUGUCUUAUUAUUGCUUCUACCCUUAAUUUCCUCACUUCUUCCCGUUCUUUCUUCUUCAUCUCUUUGUAUCUGCGUAUAUUUGAUCCGUACAAGUGUGUGUAUGAAUUGUGUCAUUGUGCAUGCUGAGGUAAAGCUGGGUGCAUAAGUAUGUAGCGACAGUUGUAUAUUAUGCUUCAAUGAAAAAGGAGGAUAAAUGGGGUCCCUAUCAUCGAUUAUUGUCGUUGUCAAAAUUAUAAUUUUGGGUAAUUAGAUUUGGCCAUUGUUUGCCAUUUCUAAUGUUGGAAAAUCCUGGUAGUUUGCAAACUCUUUCUUGAAGCUGGUUUGCAUCGUUUCUUCUCCCAUUUAGGUAGUGAUUUCAGGGUCUAAAACUCUUAAAGUUUUGCAAGACCAUGUUUUGGAGAAUGGCUGCAUUUGUUUUCAUUUCCCGCAAAUUGUUAUAGACGAAGUGACCAAGAUUGAUACAUCAUUAUGAUUCAUGAUAGUUAAAUUUUUUAUUUUUGAAUGGUGGUUCUUUUUUGGGGGUUGUCGUACCGUUAUCGUGGUUUUCAGUUGUUUGGGGGGUUCUCCAGUUUAAGAUGAGAACUUUGAGAAUUUUCGUUCUUUUUUUUUACUGAUUGCUUAGUAGUUGUUCGUAUUAAUUUAGCUGUUCCUCGUUUCGAAUUGGCAUGUCAUUUACCUAGUAGUAUUACUGUCCUUCUUGGUUCAUCUAUUUUUAGAUCACCAUAGGUGCAGUUUCGAGCUAUCUAUGUUGGGUUAUAGUUGCAGAUUCUAUUUUGAUUUUAGUAAAUGCAACCUGCCCAUUUGCUUAGUUUUAGUUAAUUUGAAUGGAUAUUUUGUGUUCAAAUUGAAAUAUUUCUUUGUUCUCUAGUGGCUAAUUGUCUUGGUGAUUAAUUAGUUGUAUAAAUAAUUGUCUCGUAUAAUGACAAAUCAAUGGAGUUACCACUACACUAGAAAAUUAUAGAAGCCUUGAUAUCUAAAAUAUCAGGAAGAGCCUUAUAGUUAUUUCUAGAUCAAUGAUUGUUGAGAUGAAUAAAGAAUUUGUGCCUUUGAAAGUGUAUCAAAACAAUUUGUUUGCUGUACCAAUUUAAGAUUCAAAGGUGUUCAGUUGUUUACCUGCGACAUCACAUAGUAAUACUUGGAAAGACCUACAACUAAAUUCAUGUAGAUUCUAUAUUCUGAUUAACACUUACCCUUCUCAAUGUGAUAAUGGAUCUUUAGAU